rnacentral:rRNA from 1 species
GUUUAAGCUAUAAAGGGCAUACGGCGGAUGCCUUGGCGUUAGCGAGCGAUGAAGGACGUGGACGGCUGCGAUAAGCUUCGGGAAGCUGCCUAGCAGGCUUUGAACCGGAGA